rnacentral:rRNA from 1 species
GAUGAACGCUGGCGGCGUGCUUAACACAUGCAAGUCGAACGGAAAGGCCCAAGCUUGCUUGGGUACUCGAGUGGCGGACGGGUGAGUAACACGUGGGUGAUCUGCCCUGCACUUCGGGAUAAGCCUGGGAAACUGGGUCUAAUACCGGAUAGGACCACAUUUUGGAUGGUGUGGUGGAAAGUUUUUCGGUGUGGGAUGAGCUCGCGGCCUAUCAGCUUGUUGGUGGGGUAAUGGCCUACCAAGGCGUCGACGGGUAGCCGGCCUGAGAGGGUGUACGGCCACAUUGGGACUGAGAUACGGCCCAGACUCCUACGGGAGGCAGCAGUGGGGAAUAUUGCACAAUGGGCGCAAGCCUGAUGCAGCGACGCCGCGUGGGGGAUGACGGCCUUCGGGUUGUAAACUCCUUUCGCUAGGGACGAAGCGUUAUGUGACGGUACCUGGAGAAGAAGCACCGGCUAACUACGUG